rnacentral:lncRNA from 1 species
AGAAAAAUAAAUUGUUCAUUUCUUUACCUACAUCUCAUCAGGAGUAAACACAUUCUCUCUCUGGCUAAGCCAAAUAUACCAUAAAUCCCUCCUAAAAAAAUACCCUGAAAUUGAGAAUCCAAUUUUAAUGGCUAAAUUAUAUUUACCUUGAACUGAGCAUUUUCUAUUAGGAUUUAUGUAUGCAUCUUGGGGAUUCUGAAUGUUGGACACCUGAAUGGAAAAGACAAUAUGAGGGUGAUGAAAGACUCUAGACGGUCCGUCUUUCUUUGAAAGAUGCUGGAAUAUAUGCCUGCUUGGCCAAUUAGUCCCCAAUAACUCUUCAGUGCCAUAGUACUGUGUGUAGAGAAAACCUCAAUGAAAAGAAAAUGGACAAUCAAGCUGGAUAAAAUACAUCCCUUAAAUGAGAACUACGCUAUGUGAAAAAAAAUAGAAGAACAAGUCCUCAGCAAGUCAAUGAUCAUAAGAAAAACAGUUAUAUUGACUAGUUAUUUUGUGUGUUUGAUGUACAAUAUGGAGAAAUAUUAGUAGCCAAAUGAAUGUGACACAUUGACACAGAUG